rnacentral:rRNA from 1 species
GACGAACGCUGGCGGCGUGCCUAAUACAUGCAAGUUGAGCGCUGUAGGUUGGUACUUGUACCAACUGGAUGAGCAGCGAACGGGUGAGUAACGCGUGGGGAAUCUGCCUUUGAGCGGGGGACAACAUUUGGAAACGAAUGCUAAUACCGCAUAAAAACUUUAAACACAAGUUUUAAGUUUGAAAGAUGCAAUUGCAUCACUCAAAGAUGAUCCCGCGUUGUAUUAGCUAGUUGGUGAGGUAAAGGCUCACCAAGGCGAUGAUACAUAGCCGACCUGAGAGGGUGAUCGGCCACAUUGGGACUGAGACACGGCCCAAACUCCUACGGGAGGCAGCAGUAGGGAAUCUUCGGCAAUGGACGAAAGUCUGACCGAGCAACGCCGCGUGAGUGAAGAAGGGUUUCGGAUCGUAAAACUCUGUUGGUAGAGAAGAACGUUGGUGAGAGUGGAAAGCUCAUCAAGUGACGGUAACUACCCAGAAAGGGACGGCUAACUACGUG